GAAUUAUUCUCAUGCUCAUGUUUAUCCUAUAGUUCUUCCUGAGAAUGGCAUCAACUGGAAGUCGUUGGUGGCAACCAUCAGGUUUCUUUGAAGAUGCCUGCAUUAGAUGAUGACAUUUCUAUUGAUGGUUCUGAAAUCAAUGCAUUUGAGUUAUUGGAUGAUUUGAGAGCAAGGAACUUGAUCCUACAAACUGGUGGUUUGGGCCAUACUCUGAGUUCCAUGAAAUGGUCAACCGGGAUGAAUUGUGCAGGAGUUUAUUGUAACGUUAUCUGAUCAUCGUCUUCGCUCCCACCAGCAAGCCUAUAGAUAGGAACAAGGAAUGGAUUCUUGGUAGAGAGAACAGUGUUAUGUCCUAUCAUAUCUGUGAACUGUUGUUGGAAUGGGAAGGUCGUCAAGCUCGUAUCGUCCGCCCAGAUGUGUAAACUGUCAAUGGCGCCCUACACAUGAUUUGAUCGUGUAAUGAUGAUGAGGCGUGAUCUUACCAAAUCAGGUGCUCCCAUUGGUCCACCUAGCAAUGGCUUCUUAUCCAUCAUUCCAGCAUUUUUGCAGUCACCAUCUUUUUCUGAAGACCAACACAUCAUAGAAAGAAUAAAGGAAAACAUAAAAAGGCAACGAAAACUGCUGUCAAACACUUACUGUGGUUAAGAGAAAAAAAAGAAAGUUUUCCCCCCCCCCCCAAAAAAAAAAAAACUCUCUGAAAAGUGCAUUUUAGAAGAAGAGGCGAUUUCUGUGCAGUGUUGUGUUCUUUCAUUGUGCAGGAACGUGAACCUUCAGACCAAUACCAGAAAAUGUAUUACAAAUUCACGAACUGAAGUGUAAAAAAAUGUAUGUUUUUGGGGUAGGGUAUGAAUAAUUCUGAAAUUUGCUUAUAAUUCAAAGAAAGCCAGUGAAGUGACACCAUGGACAAUUUUUUGAGAGCUUUUAGAUAGAAUUUAUCAAAACAUGUUAAAUGGUGAAGAGUAAAAUUUAUUGCAACAUCUAAA